rnacentral:lncRNA from 1 species
AUUUAAAGUGAUGGCUGCAGCCAUUCCGGGGAGUUACUCACUUUUCCUGGGUCUCUGCCAUGUAUACAGGAGUGCUAUUCUUCCACGGCCUGUGAGCUGCUUUCCAAGAUCUUGCUGACCUUUGUUAAUGCUGUGCCUAGCUGAAAUUUCUACUUCCUUAGAAGAAAGAGAAAAUGGAUGUUGGGACAACUAGCACUGGCUGCCACAAAUGCCUAUUGAUUCAGACAGGUUCUUAAUUCCGCUCCAUAACAGAGAGAGCAGGAGCACAUGGAGAGGCAGAGACAGAGAGAAUCUCAAGCAGACCCCUGCUGAGCGCAGAGCCAGAGUCAGGGCUCCAUCCCAGGACCCUGAGAUCAUGACCUGAGACGGAAUCAAGAAUUGGACAGACGCUUAACCGACUGAGCCAUGCAGGUAUCCCUGCUUGAGGUAUUUUAAAGUUGUGUUAAUAAGUUCAUAAACAUUUAUGAUUUAUACAUUAUUGAUGAAUGGACUGCUUUAUCAUUAGGAAAUGACCCUCUUUAUCCCUGGUUUUAUUUUUUGCUCUGAAAUCUAGUUUGAUAUUAACGAAACCACUCCAGCUUUAUUUUGAUUAGUAUUGGCACAGUAUAUAGUUCCCCAUGCUUUCACUUUUAGCCUGUAUGCAUUUUUUUAAAAAGACUUAACUUAUUUUAGGGAUGCCUGGGUGGGCCAGUGGGUUAAAUCCUCUGCUUUCGGCUCAGGUUGUGAUUCCCAGUGUCUUGGGAUCGAGCCCCAUGUCGGGCUCUCUGCUUGACGGGAGCCUGCUUCCCCUUCUCUCUCUC